CUACGGGAGGCUGCAGUGGGGAAUAUUGGACAAUGGGCGAAAGCCUGAUCCAGCCAUGCCGCGUGUGUGAAGAAGGCCUUCGGGUUGUAAAGCACUUUCAGUGGGGAAGAAAGCCUUGGGGCUAAUACCCUCGAGGAAGGACAUCACCCACAGAAGAAGCACCGGCUAACUCCGUGCCAGCAGCCGCGGUAAUACGGAGGGUGCGAGCGUUAAUCGGAAUUACUGGGCGUAAAGCGCGCGUAGGCGGUCUGAUAAGCCGGUUGUGAAAGCCCCGGGCUCAACCUGGGAACGGCAUCCGGAACUGUCAGGCUAGAGUGCAGGAGAGGAAGGUAGAAUUCCUGGUGUAGCGGUGAAAUGCGUAGAGAUCGGGAGGAAUACCAGUGGCGAAGGCGGCCUUCUGGACUGACACUGACGCUGAGGUGCGAAAGCGUGGGUAGCAAACAGGAUUAGAUACCCUGGUAGUC
rnacentral:rRNA from 1 species